CCUCUAAAAACAAAAUAAAUGAAAAGUUAAGCGGUAUUUUUCAAUUUAAGGGGAAAUUUUAAGCUGUGAAAAAAACCUCAUUUCAAUUUAAGAGUUGUCGUUCAUUUCAGUAGCCGCAAUUCAACAGGGGUUUUUCAAUAAGGCCCUAUUUGGUUCAUUAUUAGUAAAGGAAAGGAAGAGAAAAGAAAGGAAGGGAAAAGAAAGGAAAAGAAAGGAAGGGAAAUAGGUUUUAUUUUCCUGUGUUUGGUUUAGGGGAAAGAAAUGAAGGGAAGAGAAGGGAAAGCUAAAUGACAGCUUUUAAUUUUCUCUUUCCUUCCGAAUUCCUCCAAUUUUGGAAGGAAAGGAAAGUGAAAAUUUUGUAAAUGAGUUUUCCUUCCAAUUCCUUUCAUUUCCUCCCACUUCCCAUAUAAUUAUUUGUACCAAAUACAGGAAACCUUAUUUUACCUUUCCUUUAUUUUCUUUUCCUUCCAAUUCCUCCCAACCAAAUAAAGCCUUAAAAACCUAGCCUUGAAUUCAUUGCAAAUUCUUCUGAAGGAUCAAACAUAAGGUUUCUCUUAUUAGUGAAACUCACAAUUCUCUUUCUCUUAACAAAGAAAUACUAGAGCAAUCUUGAUUUAAAUCACCGCCUUUUUUUUCAUUAUUGGGAAGAAUUCGUCCGUAUUGAUUUCGCCAGUCUUCAAUUAGGAAGAUGAACUUGCAAUCGGGGAGCACCAAAAUUGAAGUCUUGAUGCAGCUGGCGAUCAAGAGGUGGUGUUACUGCAAUGUUACAAAAGUACAGGAGGGACAAAGAAAAUGAUGACAGACCGUUGAUGCUUAUUUUGAGCAACAAUUAUCUUUGCUUGAUAUGGUAAUUGGUGCCCUGAAAAUAUUCUUCUAUUGGCUUACACAUUGAACAAAGAAAAGCCUGGAAUUGAUUGAUACAAUCAUAUAAGCCUGGAAUUUUAUUUUUCUUUUACUUGUAUCCUUGAGAUCUUAAUUAAUUGUGCUUCAUGUAAGUAUGUUGUCA